UCUCUCGACGGACAGCAACGAAAUGCUGAAACUCGACAUGGUCGAGCAGCUGCGAAAGUUCACACCCUCCGCGGAGGAGCGUGCACUGUUGGAUGAACAUAGCGAGCAUAUUAAGUCACUGGCCCGCGCCGAUUGCUCCCUUUACUAAGUACCAAAGAUUCCCCACUACGAGCAAAGGCUGAAGAGUCUCUACUACAGGAAGCGCUUUAUGCCGACGGACAACGAUCUUAUACCACGCAUCACCAGUGUGAUGGUGGCGUACCGCGAAAUGGCAACUACAUAAUUCCUCAGGAUUCCAACUGGCCUCACUUAAUUGCCCGGCCGACACCAAGUCCAGUGCCGCCAAGGCCAAGCUGAC